rnacentral:lncRNA from 1 species
GCUUUGCUGUGUAAUCCCUGGAGAGGAGUUUUGCCCUGAAUUCCUAAAGGGCGGCAGGAGUCUGAAGGUGAGAAAUCCUGUCUCACCCUGGGUUGGAGACAGGCAGCAGGGAGGCCCCCCGGGCCCAGCAGGUCAGGUGCCCGGAACAGUCAUCGACACUCCUCACAGAGGCUGUGGAUACCUGGACAGGAGCCAUCCCGCCCAGGUCCUGCAGCCUGACCCAGAUGCACCUGGCCAGCAUCUCAGCUCCAUACCCAGGCUGAGCCCCAACUCCUCUGUGAUGUCAGACUGGGCUCCAUCUCCCCUCUGACCCCAAGACAGGCCUCUGUCACACUGUGGCUCCCUCCAGGUGUGUGCCCGUGUUGGAGACUGUGGCCACUUCACACCCUUGGGACCCCCAAAGGCCAUCCUCUCAGGAGACCCUCAGGUCAUCACAGGAAGAAGGCGCAUGGAGCAGCAGAGCCAGGCUGAGCACCUGGACCCAGCAGUGACUGCAGUCCAAAACUGCACACCGGAUCUGGUUAGCGGGUCAUUAAGUGCCUUAUUUGUGCAAGCCAGCUGAUUCCCUUUCCAUCAACAGCCG